UACGGAGGGUGCGAGCGUUGUUCGGAAUUACUGGGCGUAAAGGGUGCGUAGGCGGCGCGGUAAGUCGGGUGUGAAAUCUCGGAGCUUAACUCCGAAACUGCAUUCGAUACUGCCGUGCUUGAGGACUGGAGAGGAGACUGGAAUUUACGGUGUAGCGGUGAAAUGCGUAGAUAUCGUAAGGAAGACCAGUGGCGAAGGCGGGUCUCUGGACAGUUCCUGACGCUGAGGCACGAAGGUCAGGGGAGCAAACGGG
rnacentral:rRNA from 1 species